UCCUGAGAUGGCCCCAGAUCUGCAAGAGACAUUUGAGAGAAGCUAUUUAUUAGCAGACGUGAAGAAAUGGAUUCUGCACUUGAUUAUUUAGCCAUGACUUAUCAAUGAUGAUGGAUUGGAAAGCAGUAGCUGCCCAGAAGUUAAAUCUGUCUUCUAAAAAGAAGAAACAUCGGCCUUCCACUUCUUCCGCUGCCGAACCACCGCUCUUUGCAACCAGCUUCAGUGGGAUUCUGCAGACCUCCCCUCCCCCAGCCCCACCCUGCCUGCUGAGGGCUGUCAACAAGGUGAAGGACACCCCGGGGCUGGGCAAGGUGAAAGUCAUGCUUCGCAUCUGUUCCACCUUGGCUCGAGAUACUUCAGAAUCCAGCUCUUUCUUAAAGGUGGACCCACGGAAGAAGCAGAUCACCUUGUACGAUCCCCUGACUUGUGGAGGUCAAAAUGCCUUCCAAAAGAGAGGCAACCAGGUUCCUCCAAAGAUGUUUGCCUUCGAUGCAGUUUUUCCACAAGACGCUUCUCAGGCUGAAGUGUGUGCAGGCACCGUGGCAGAGGUGAUCCAGUCUGUGGUCAACGGGGCAGAUGGCUGCGUGUUCUGUUUCGGCCACGCCAAACUGGGAAAAUCCUACACCAUGAUCGGAAAGGAUGAUUCCAUGCAGAACCUGGGCAUCAUUCCCUGUGCCAUCUCUUGGCUCUUCAAGCUCAUAAACGAACGCAAGGAAAAGACCGGCGCCCGUUUCUCAGUCCGGGUUUCCGCCGUGGAAGUGUGGGGGAAGGAGGAGAACCUGCGGGACCUGCUGUCGGAGGUGGCCACGGGCAGCCUGCAGGACGGCCAGUCCCCGGGCGUGUACCUCUGUGAGGACCCCAUCUGCGGCACGCAGCUGCAGAACCAGAGCGAGCUGCGGGCCCCCACCGCAGAGAAGGCUGCCUUUUUCCUGGAUGCCGCCAUUGCCUCCCGCAGGAGCCACCAACAGGACUGUGAUGAGGACGACCACCGCAACUCACACGUGUUCUUCACACUGCACAUCUACCAGUACCGGAUGGAGAAGAGCGGGAAAGGGGGAAUGUCUGGAGGUCGCAGCCGCCUGCAUCUCAUUGAUCUCGGCAGCUGUGUGAAAGCUCUUAGCAAAAAUCGAGAAGGAGGCUCAGGGCUGUGUCUCUCGCUGUCUGCUCUGGGCAAUGUCAUCCUGGCUCUCGUCAAUGGCAGCAAACACAUUCCAUACAAAGAGAGCAAGCUCGCCAUGUUGCUGCGGGAGUCUCUGGGGAACAUGAACUGCCGUACCACCAUGAUCGCGCACAUCUCGGCCGCGGUCGGGAGCUACGCGGAGACCCUGUCCACCAUCCAGAUUGCAUCGAGAGUCUUGAGGAUGAAGAAAAAGAAGACGAAGUACACAUCCAGCUCGUCCGGCGGGGAGAGCUCCUGCGAAGAAGGCCGCAUGCGCAGGCCCACCCAGCUGAGACCCUUCCACACCAGGGCCACGGUGGACCCUGACUUCCCCAUCGCUCACCUGUCCAGCGACCCCGACUACUCCUCCAGCAGCGAGCAGUCCUGCGACACCGUCAUCUACAUCGGGCCCAACGGCACGGCCCUCUCUGACAAGGAGCUCACCGACAACGAGGGCCCCCCAGACUUUGUCCCUAUCGUGCCAGCCCUGCAGAAGACCCGGGGCGACAGCCGGCCCGCAGAGGCAGGAGAGGCUGCAGCCGGCAAGUCAGAAAGGGACUGCCUGAAGUGCAACACGUUUGCCGAGCUGCAGGAGAGGCUGGACUGCAUCGACGGCAGCGAGGAGCCCAGCAGCUUUCCUUUCGAAGAACUGCCUGCUCAGUUUGGGCCAGAGCAGGCAAGCAGAGGCCCCCGGUUAAGCCAAGCAGCGGGGGCAAGCCCACUCUCUGAGUCUGAUAAGGAAGAUAAUGGGUCCGAAGGUCAGCUGACCAACAGAGAAGGCCCUGAACUCCCAGCCUCCAAGAUGCAGAGGAGUCACUCACCUGUGCCCGCCGCGGCACCCGCCCACAGCCCCAGCCCGGCCUCACCCAGGAGCGUCCCGGGCAGCAGUAGCCAGCACAGCGCCUCCCCACUCGUGCAGAGCCCCAGCCUCCAGAGCAGCCGGGAGAGCCUCAACUCCUGCGGCUUCGUGGAAGGCAAGCCCAGGCCCAUGGGCUCCCCCCGGCUGGGCAUCGCCAGCCUGUCCAAGACCUCGGAGUACAAGCCACCCAGCUCUCCUUCCCAGAGAUGCAAAGUCUACACCCAGAAGGGGGUCCUGCCGUCUCCCGCCCCACUGCCUCCCUCGAGCAAGGAUUCCGGCGUGGCGUCUAGGGAGUCCUUGCUGCAGCCCGAGGUGCGUACGCCCCCGGUUGGAAUGAGCCCCCAGGUUUUGAAAAAAUCCAUGUCUGCUGGGAGCGAAGGGUUCCCGGAAACUCCUGUCGAUGAUGAGCAGCAGGCAGCUACUCCUUCAGAGUCCAAGAAGGAGAUCCUGAGCACCACGAUGGUGACGGUGCAGCAGCCACUGGAGCUGAACGGUGAGGACGAGCUGGUGUUCACGCUGGUGGAGGAGCUGACCAUCAGCGGGGUCCUGGACA
rnacentral:misc_RNA from 1 species